GCAAUUUUUCAAGAUUUCUUAUGUCCCUUCCCCUCUUGGGUUCCCCAAGGGGCAGCUGCACAGACAGCAGCUGCCUCAGGUGAGCAGGGCAAAGUGGCCAAGCAGGCGCCCUGAAUGGGUGGUCACCGGAUUACAGAGCUGGUUUGAAGCCUUAUGUUCCUAUCUGCAAACCCAGGGCUCCAGGAUUCUGGCUUUCAUUGAGUCUUAACUGGCUAGGAUGACACUCCAACCAACUGAGCCCACCAGCCGGGGCAUGACUUUAUUCCUUAAUUGAAGAAAUAUAAUUACAGAGACAAACACAUUAAUUGUAAUCAGUGAAACCAUGUGAACAUGUUUAAAUGAAAAAGUAUCAAACACCCACCCUCACCCCACCCUGUGUCAGGGGUCCCCAGGACUACCUCCCCUGCAAUCCUUUGAGUUUUUUGAGUAUACACAGAAAUGGAAUUCCAGAAAUGAAAUUGCCGAGUCAGACAGUGAUCCUAUAUUUAAUGCUUUGAGGAAACACCAUCCUGUUUUCCACAGCAGCUGCCUCAUUUCACCUUCCCACCAGCAGUGUGCCAGUGCAUGAGGGCUCUCCCCACAUCCCUGCCAGCACUUGUUUUCUGGUUUUGUUUUUACUAAUAGUAACCAUCCUGAUGCGUGUGUGGCAUUGGGUCACAGGAUUUUGACCUCAAGAACCACUGUCAAAUAUACACCAUAUGUGCCCCCACUUUCUCCUCAGUUGCUUCUCAGGGAAUCUGGCCCAAGCUGGCCCCCUGGGAUCUUACCUCUAGUAGCUGGUCCAGAGGCUGUGUGCUGGCACAGUGGUCUGACUGGGAGUGGGGAUGGGGCUGCCUACUUCCCUCCCCUUUGCUGGGCCUUCCUUUGCUCCUUUGAAAUAAACCCCUUUUCUCAGGUUCCUUGGCUUAGUUACCAAGUGGACACCCUUUCCUGCCCAUCUCUGUGAGGGAAAAAAAUAGAAAUUAAACUGGAAGGUGCCAAAUGAGGAACCUUCAAAAAGACUUUCUGUGGCAGGGUCUCCCCCUCAGCACCACUUAUGUCGGGGCCCAGUCUUUCUCUUUGUGGGGUGGGGAGGUGUCGUGGGCACCAUAGGGUAUUGAGCAGUAUCCCUUACCCCCACCUACUUCAUGCCAGGAUCACCCCCUACUUGUGACAAUUACAGAUGUCCUUAGACACUGCAACAGUCCUUGCAAUCUAAUUCAAGGCUAGGUAGGCACUCUCCUGGGGCCCAGAUUUGGCAGAGGGCGGGGGGUGUCAUAACCUUGGUCAUCAAAAUGAAUGGUAUUAAAGCAAUAUUUUAAGAAUUUAAGAUGCAAAAAAAUCAUUGUGAACAAAAUGUUGAAGUUUUUAUGCUGUAGCAAAAAUAUCAGGUUUAGCAUGCACAAAGCCAAGAAAAUCAACAAUGCCAGAUACUGAACUUAUCUCACUGUCCUUUGGACACCCAGCAAGAGUCAACUGCUGAGUGCAGGUGCCAGGCAGUGCAAGUGUUGGAGUUUGAUGUGAGCACAGGGUUGGCUGAACAGUGCCAUGUCAAGCCAUUUUGGAGACUGAAACAGAAUGACACAUGCCCCAUUUAUAUGUGUUUUUAUGUAAUUUUUCUUAAUGGUUAACUUUUUCCCAGAACAUUAAA